UGCAGGAAUUGAAAGACGGCAGGUGUAGAAACACCCCAUUGGGAGAAAUGAGUAAACUCACAGUGUCUCCAGAGUUAUAGAAGAGAUGGAGGGGAUUUCCUUAUAUAUAUAUAUAUAUUCCUUUUUCUCCCCCUAAGCUGUGAGGCGCCUGUCCCUUUAAACAGUGGAUUUUGGAAGGAGCUUAAUAAAGCGAUCGCUGCUCUAGCUGAUGCCUUGUUCCAAUGCUCCUGGGGAUCUGCAGAGGCAACAGAGAGGGUUGCAGCAUUACAAAAGCUUCCUCUUGCAAGCUGAGCUUCAGAAUGUAGUGGAAAAUUCAGGGCAAAGCUGUGAGGAGGUAUGUGGCAGUGAGAGAAAGGAUCAAGAAGGUGAUUCUUCUGAGCUCCAGGUACUUCUUUUGAAUUAACCCAUAUUCUUUACAACUCAUUUAAUCAAAAUCCUCAUCUUAGAACUGCAGAGCUGGAAGGGACCCUAUAGAUCAUCAAGUCCAGCCCAUCAAGGAGGCACCGUGGGGGAAUCAAACUCCAAACCUCUGGCUCUGCAGCCCGAUGCCUAAAUCACUCAGCUACAGUAUCUAGCAGUUAAGAGCCCGAA
rnacentral:lncRNA from 1 species